GAAGUUGUUUCAUAAUGUGAAAAAUAUUGUGUCAAAAUGGUCCGUUACAUAUUGUGAAUUUGUGCUGCGUAAUUUUAUCGUUUCUAUUUGGUGCUAAAAUUGAAUUUAGUCAUUAAUACUAAUUUAUAGGGAGUGUUAGUUAUUUAUCUAGUGAAAAUACUUACAGGUACAUACCACCGUAAGUAUAUUCAACAUGCCGCGUGUAUACAGACCCGAUCCUACAAGGAAAAGUUAUAAAAACUAUGACACUGAAAUAAUUAAAAAGGCUGUGGAAGAGUAUGUUACUUCUCGAAAUGUAAAGUUAAAAAAAGUUGCAAAAAAAUAUGGCAUACACAAAUCAGUGCUAUAUCGUCACAGUACGCGGGAUAUGAAGCGACAAGGAGAACAAAGAGCUUUAUCCGAUGAUACUGAAAUGUUCUUAAUUUAAACCAUAAACAAAUGCACAGAAUGGGGUUAUCCCCUAGAUACUAUGGAUCUCAGGUACAUAUUAAAAAUGUAUCUUGAUAAGAUAGGUAUGACCCAUAAAAGAUUUAAAAACAAUUUUCUUUGACCUGAUUUUGUGAAGAGUUUGCUAUUAAUACACAAAAAUGAGAUUUCUCAAAGAGUUUGGGAGAUAGCCGAAAUCCACUACGUUUUAUGCAACUGUUCGCUGUCAAACAUAGCCGGAUCAUACUUCGAUGCCAAUCGCCAUGCUAAACUAAAUUUUCAAUUUUUACCUAGGCAGUCCCGCCUCUUAUUUAGUAUUUACAUCCUCUUUGAUUUAAUCUUGUUUGUUUUUAUUAAAUGGCUCCAUCGACUGGAUGUCGACGAUUGAGCCAACGUCAGGGUGGAGAGAUAUUUUAUUUUUUAUAUAAACUGAUUGUAGUUAAAUAGUUCCUGGGACUUCUCUCAGUAUGGGGGAACCACAAGGUUCUAAUCUUCGUCCGUUCCUAUUUCUUAUCUAUGUAUUUAUAUAAUUAUCUUCCUUACCUUAUAGAGAAAAAAAAACAUAUGGUAGUAUUGUUGACGGAUGUGUCAUCCGUGUCACUGCUAUUUAAAGUGAAAAGAAACCAAGUUAUGUAUGACGGAAUAAACAAUAUUCUAUCUUA